rnacentral:rRNA from 1 species
CCUACGGGUGACAGCAGUGAGGAAUAUUGGUCAAUGGACGAGAGUCUGAACCAGCCAAGUAGCGUGAAGGAUGACUGCCCUAUGGGUUGUAAACUUCUUUUAUAUGGGAAUAAAACGUUCCACGUGUGGGAUUUUGUAUGUACCAUAUGAAUAAGGAUCGGCUAACUCCGUGCCAGCAGCCGCGGUAAUACGGAGGAUCCGAGCGUUAUCCGGAUUUAUUGGGUUUAAAGGGAGCGUAGGUGGAUUGUUAAGUCAGUUGUGAAAGUUUGCGGCUCAACCGUAAAAUUGCAGUUGAAACUGGCAGUCUUGAGUACAGUAGAGGUGGGCGGAAUUCGUGGUGUAGCGGUGAAAUGCUUAGAUAUCACGAAGAAAUCCGAUUGCGAAGGCAGUUCACUGGACUGCAACUGACACUGAGGCUCGAAAGUGUGGGUAUCAAACAGGAUUAGAUACCCCAGUAGUC